rnacentral:rRNA from 1 species
UACGUAGGGGGCUAGCGUUGUCCGGAUUUAUUGGGCGUAAAGAGCGUGUAGGCGGCCAGGUAGGUCUGGUGUGAAAACUCGAGGCUUAACCUCGAGAUGUCAUCGGAAACCAUCUGGCUAGAGUCCGGAAGAGGAGAGUGGAAUUCCUGGUGUAGCGGUGAAAUGCGCAGAUAUCAGGAAGAACACCAAUGGCGAAAGCAGCUCUCUGGGACGGUACUGAGGCUGAGACGCGAAAGCGUGGGGAGCGAACAGG